UGUGUGAGGGUGUAUGAGUUGGGGGUUAUAAUGUGAUGUUUGUUGAAUAGAGGGGUGUUAGUGCAUUAGGGCUAUAUGUAUCAACACACCAAGAGAACACUUCACUUUCCCCUUUUCUUUUUUUUAGCCGAAGCUCUCUCUCCCUCCUCUCCCUUUCUCUCGGUCUCCUCUCUCUCACUCCCUCAACCAAAUUCUUGCUACUCCACCAUCAAUCCUUGAAAACCCACGCACAUCUCUUCAUCCUCGGCCCUCGGAUCGCGUGGGAAGAGCUCGGUGGAGGCAUAUUUCGGAUUUGGAGGCUAGGGUUUGGUUUGAGCUCAAAGCUUGGUCUUGAUACUUGAGGUACUCGUCAUGACACUUAGCUUGGAUUGCAUGGAGUGCACAUUGAGAUGUCUCGUGAGAGCUUCAUUGGUAUCAUUAAGGAAGUGUUCAUCAGCUAGUCCAAUUCAUGUUGUGUACUUUGCUCCCAAUUGAAGGUUGUGCCCUUUUGAUUAGAAUAUUUGUAAAGCCAUGUAUAAACUCUUCUCCUUGACUAUUAUGAAACCCAUUUAAUUGUAAACAUUUGGGAGACUUUAUGUAAAAAAAAAAAAAUUAGAGAGAAGAGCUUUGAUUC